AAUAUUGGACAAUGGGCGCAAGCCUGAUCCAGCCAUGCCGCGUGUGUGAUGAAGGCCUUAGGGUUGUAAAGCACUUUCACCGAUGAAGAUAAUGACGGUAGUCGGAGAAGAAGCCCCGGCUAACUUCGUGCCAGCAGCCGCGGUAAUACGAAGGGGGCUAGCGUUGUUCGGAAUUACUGGGCGUAAAGCGCACGUAGGCGGAUUGGUCAGUUAGGGGUGAAAUCCCAGGGCUCAACCCUGGAACUGCCUUUAAUACUGCCAGUCUCGAGUCCGGAAGAGGUAAGUGGAACUCCUAGUGUAGAGGUGGAAUUCGUAGAUAUUAGGAAGAACACCAGUGGCGAAGGCGGCUUACUGGUCCGGAACUGACGCUGAGGUGCGAAAGCGUGGGGAGCAAACA
rnacentral:rRNA from 1 species